GCUCGGAGCCGAGCAGAGGAUCAAAGGGGCUUUGUGGCCGAGGAACAAGGAGGCUCCCUGAGCAGCGUCCCGGGCAGAGGACUGCACAGCGCCCCCUGGUGCUUGGCCGGAGCCAGUGCAGCCGCUCAAUCUGCAGCAGAAACAAGCCCGUCCGUUCUGUCGUUUGAAAGAUUCCGGUAGCCGCAGUAACAGGGGACGAAGACACCAAGUGGAUUCAUUUUAAUGCCUCGCGUCCCCGAGAGAGCCGAAACACCGUCAACUGGACACGUGCCCAGCACCGAAACGAAGGCGGUCUGCACGCUUGCCGCACCGCGGCUUGGAGACGCUUCACGCCGACAGCACCUCUCUCGAUGUUCUCCCUCCGUGUCACCCCGGGAGGGCACCAGACCCCCGGGGGCCUCUAUCCCACCUGGGCCCCCCUCCCCCGGUUCCGCCUCAGCAGCGGUGUGUGCAGCCACCUGGGGCUGAGACAGGACACCGCCCCGCGGGACACAGCAACAGGCUGCUGAGGCCUCUGACCCCCACGUCGCAGUGUCCCCGGCGGGGAGUGCACGGCGGACAUCCCUCUCAGAUGCCACCACCAGAAAGAAGGCAGCUUCUCCUAAACAGGAAUCUCUCCAAGGCCCCUGACGUGCAGUCAGGGUGCAGAGCCACCCGUGAGGGCUGACAGGCCCACGCGGCCCGAGAUUUAGCAAGACCCGGGUCGAGGAGCUGUGCGCCCAGGAGACACGCGAGGGGGGACACAAGAAGGACUUCGGUGGCGGAGGCAGUGGCACCGGCGCGCGUCACGGCAAAAGCCGGAAGGCAGCCCAGACGUCCACGGAGGAGAGGACGGAGGAGAGGACGGACAGCUACGGCAGAGCCCCCGGCGGACCAGCACGCGGCGGCGGCGGCGGCGGGGACGACGCAGAAAAGCCGGGGGCUCGGGACAUUCCAGAUGGGGAAGUGGCCGUGACAUCGCCUCCCCCUGUUGGUUCAGAGAGGGGACCCUGGCCCACCUUCCCUCCACACACCUGCGCGUCCCCGGUGCCUGAGCCUCCCUGCCCGGGGGCCCGCGAUCCCAGCUGCGAGCCCCCCGGGACCUCGGGGUCGCAGGCACGCCACCAAACUCUCCCUGUCACCUGAGGAACACAGGCUCCGAGGUCAGGACGGGAGUUCAAACCCGUCUCUACCCACAAGCUGACUUUGGGCAAAUUUGUUACAUCUCCGGGAAGUGGUUUUCUUCUCUCCCCAAAGGGGAGAGGGACCCUUCCCUCGGCGGAGUUCAAGGGCGACAAGGACAGAGACGGCACACGGGUGGACUGGCGUGGUGCCCAGCACCCAGGCAGAUGCCCGGAGUGGCUGCCCUCCCGCUGGCUGCCCCCGGGGCCCCCGCCCUCCCAGGGCCUGUGGGCGGGCGGGAGGACAGCCCCGCAGGGCCCAGCAGCUGCCAGCCGCCCCAUCUCAGGGGCUCUGACUUGGAAGCGAAAAAAGGAACAAGCAGAAACUGUGGACGGAUUUGAGAGUUUUGAUUACCAAUCACUUGCACGCAUCUGUGAUUUCAAACCUUAACGCUGGAGCUGAAGGGUCACCUGGGAAAUUUCUCUGUUCAAAGUACAUUAAAGCCCUGGCUGGCAUAGCUCAGUGGACUGAGCGCGGGCUGAGAACCAAA